UAUACAUUAGAAAGUGCUGUAUUAAAGUACUUUCUUCAACUAUGAACAAUCAUACUGAAUGAAUGACCUCGACCUAAUCUUCCGAGUGGUUUUUCUGGAAAAACGAUGUUCUAUAAAGUGCAAAAGAAGAAAAACUAAGCAGAACACUUUUCUCUCGGCGAAUCGCCUACCUACAGGAUCAAGUUACUUCAACUACUACUUUAUACGUGAGCAAAAUGUAAAAAUCUUACAUAAUUGAGAAACCCUAUACUGUAGAAAAGAGUUAAAGUGCUGCAAUUAUUUCCAUCCAAAUCAUGGUGAUUCAUCUUCAAUUGCACACGUUCGACUUUAAUGAUGUCACGUUAAAGCUGUACUUGAUUCCGAUAGACAAAUGCGCAACUACUUUAAUGUUUUCGAGAAAAGAACUAAAUAUCUACGUCAUUUUGAUGAUAUAUUCAAAACAAACAAGUUGAUUAAAUGUUUCCCACUUCAUUUAAAAUCCUCCUUUUUCUCUAACGUAGCUACUUAAUCAGAUUUUUUUUUUAAAUAUAAAAUUCUAGAGAUGUUUUGUCUAUAGAAGUAAAAUGCAAAAAAAAACAAUUUUUUUUCACAUUUCGACACUUAAUUAUUUUCCUUGUUGUUUGACAUUGUAAUUCUGGUUUCGAAAAAUGAUUUUUUUUUUCUUUUCUUCUUUUUAAUGGCAGAACUAAAUUUCUACUUUUUACAACAAAUCUCUUUGAACAA